UGGGGAAUUUUUCGCAAUGGGCGAAAGCCUGACGAAGCAACGCCGCGUGGAGGAUGAAGGCCUUCGGGUCGUAAACUCCUGUCGACCGGGACGAAAGUAGGAUGGCCUAAUACGCCGAUCUAUUGACUGUACCGGUGGAGGAAGCCACGGCUAACUCUGUGCCAGUAGCCGCGGUAAUACAGAGGUGGCAAGCGUUGUUCGGAAUUACUGGGCGUAAAGGGCGCGUAGGCGGCUUGGUCAGUCCCGUGUGAAAUCCCUCGGCUCAACUGAGGAACUGCACGGGAAACUGCCUGGCUUGAGUUCGGGAGAGGGAAGCGGAAUUCCGGGUGUAGCGGUGAAAUGCGUAGAUAUCCGGAGGAACACCGGUGGCGAAGGCGGCUUCCUGGACCGACACUGACGCUGAGGCGCGAAAGCUAGGGGAGCAAACGG
rnacentral:rRNA from 1 species